rnacentral:rRNA from 1 species
GACGAACGCUGGCGGCGUGCUUAACACAUGCAAGUCGAACGGUGAAGCUCCAGCUUGCUGGAGUGUAUCAGUGGCGAACGGGUGAGUAACACGUGAGCAACCUGCCCCUGACUCUGGAAUAAGCGCUGGAAACGGCGUCUAAUACUGGAUACGAGAAGGGUCCGCAUGGGCACUUUCUGGAAAGUUUUUCGGUUGGGGAUGGGUUCGCGGCCUAUCAGCUUGUUGGUGAGGUAAUGGCUCACCAAGGCGACGACGGGUAGCCGGCCUGAGAGGGCGACCGGCCACACUGGGACUGAGACACGGCCCAGACUCCUACGGGAGGCAGCAGUGGGGAAUAUUGCACAAUGGGCGAAAGCCUGAUGCAGCGACGCCGCGUGAGGGAUGACGGCCUUCGGGUUGUAAACCUCUUUCAGCAGGGAAGAAGCGAAAGUGACGGUACCUGCAGAAGAAGCACCGGCUAACUACGUG